UCCCUCUCUUCUUCCUCUCUCCCGUUGGCUUCUCCUCCAUCUUCAUUGUGCGAAGACCAGAAAAUUUCAGAGAAGAAGGAGCUGCAGCCAUGGUCGUCCACUCCCGCUCGCACGCCGCCGUCGCCGCCGUCGCCGUGUCCGCCUCGCGCCGCCCGUGCACCGCUCGCCGGUCCGCUCGCGUCCGCACUCCGCCCGCGCUUGGCCGGCAUCCCGAGCUGCUGUUCAGCUCGUGCAAGAGCUACCGGAGCUCGUCCCCGCCGCCGUGAACCGCCGUCGACCUCCGCCCUAGCCCGCCGGAGCUUCGCCUUGCCUCCGCCGCCCUUGGCCGCCCGAACCGGCGCCGGAUCCGCCCCAUCUUGGCCCCGAUCAGCAACCCAGAAAAUGGGUAUGGCAGCCCCUUCGUGGCCCGUUUUGGCCGCCUUCCCGAGCCCGGAUGCUCGGCCCGCUUUGAGGAAAGUUGUUCUCCUCGGCGUCCUCGUCGUUUUGGUCCGCUCGGCUCGCUAAUCCGGUCCCUAGAUGGCGGUUGUGGAGGACCCGAAGCCCUAAGUCUGGAAAGGUGGAGACUGAAGUAUCGGUGAUCGUGUCCCGCUAGUUGGUUUGAGGGUAGUUCCCCUUUUGUCGAGCUGGUCUAUUUCGCAGACAGCCCAGAGUUGUAUUUAAGCCUAUGUGUUUGUAAAUGAGUGUUUAGUAUUGUGAUUGAUUGCCUGCUUUUCUAUCCCAAGUUAAAUGUUGUCAGGGGA